rnacentral:rRNA from 1 species
CAGGGUUUGACAUGCAGGCGACUCCUCCAGAGAUGGGGGUCCCGCAAGGGCGUCUGCACAGGUGCUGCAUGGCUGUCGUCAGCUCGUGUCGUGAGAUGUUGGGUUAAGUCCCGCAACGAGCGCAACCCUUACCACUAGUUGCCAACAGAAGAUGGGAACUCUAGCGGAACUGCCGGUGAUAAACCGGAGGAAGGUGGGGAUGACGUCAAGUCAUCAUGGCCUCUAUGUCCAGGGCUACACACGUGCUACAAUGGCCGGUACAAACCGUCGCAAACUCGCGAGAGGGAGCCAAUCGGAAAAAACCGGUCUCAGUUCGGAUUGGAGUCUGCAACUCGACUCCAUGAAGUUGGAAUCGCUAGUAAUCGCAGAUCAGCACGCUGCGGUGAAUACGUUCCC